rnacentral:rRNA from 1 species
AGUGAACGCUGGCGGUAGGCCUAACACAUGCAAGUCGAACGGCAGCACAGUAAGAGCUUGCUCUUACGGGUGGCGAGUGGCGGACGGGUGAGGAAUACAUCGGAAUCUACUUUUUCGUGGGGGAUAACGUAGGGAAACUUACGCUAAUACCGCAUACGACCUACGGGUGAAAGCAGGGGAUCUUCGGACCUUGCGCGAUUGAAUGAGCCGAUGUCGGAUUAGCUAGUUGGCGGGGUAAAGGCCCACCAAGGCGACGAUCCGUAGCUGGUCUGAGAGGAUGAUCAGCCACACUGGAACUAAGACACGGUCCAGACUCCUACGGGAGGCAGCAGUGGGGAAUAUUGGACAAUGGGCGCAAGCCUGAUCCAGCCAUACCGCGUGGGUGAAGAAGGCCUUCGGGUUGUAAAGCCCUUUUGUUGGGAAAGAAAAGCAGCAGGUUAAUACCCCGCUGUUCUGACGGAACCCAAAGAAUAAGCACCGGCUAACUUCGUG